rnacentral:rRNA from 1 species
UACGAAGGGUGCAAGCGUUACUCGGAAUUACUGGGCGUAAAGCGUGCGUAGGUGGUUCGUUAAGUCUGAUGUGAAAGCCCUGGGCUCAACCUGGGAAUGGCAUUGGAUACUGGCGGACUGGAGUGCGGUAGAGGAUGGCGGAAUUCCCGGUGUAGCAGUGAAAUGCGUAGAGAUCGGGAGGAACAUCUGUGGCGAAGGCGGCCAUCUGGACCAGCACUGACACUGAUGUACGAAA